GAUGAACGCUAGCUACAGGCUUAACACAUGCAAGUCGAGGGGCAGCAUGAACAAAGCUUGCUUUGUUUGAUGGCGACCGGCGCACGGGUGCGUAACACGUAUCCAAUCUGCCCGCGGCUCGGGGAUAGCCCAUCGAAAGAUGGAUUAAUACCCGAUGGCGUGGUCACUCCGCAUGGAGUUUCCACUAAAGGUUUUCCGGCCGCGGAUGAGGAUGCGUAUGAUUAGGUAGUAGGCGGGGUAACGGCCCACCUAGCCUUCGAUCAUUAGGGGUUCUGAGAGGAAGGUCCCCCANACUGGAACUGAGACACGGUCCAGACUCCUACGGGAGCAGCAGUGAGGAAUAUUGGUCAAUGGGC
rnacentral:rRNA from 1 species